AGUCUCCCGUCAGUUACACACAGUUGCAGGUGCUUGUGUUUUCAUACUGUUUAGCUCUCUCUCUCCCAGGACCAGGAGGAUGGCUCCCAUCAAUGGUGACGAGUGUUUCUUCUGGAGGACCACCGGCUGUUUCUACGGUGACAGGUGUCGCUUCAAACACAAGCCUGACCAGAGAGGAAGAGACAGGAAACCCUGACAACCCUUACAAGCCUGAACACCACGUACCGUCCGGAUAUGACAGAGUAAGGAAGAAGAGAAGGAAUGACAGAAUAAUGAAUAUGAAGAUUGAGGAAGCGGAGGAGGGGCCGUGUAGCUACCUGAAAAGGGAACAGGAAACUUGGCUAGAAUGGGGCUGUUGGGAGGGUGUCACCGCUUUUGUAGUCCUCUGACACACAGCACAGACAGCACACUGGACACACAGUAGGAGUAAGUGUCAAUCAAAGUGAAGAGGAGUGCUCCUCUGAUUUCCUUCCCCCGCCCCCUCGGCCUGAGCUGUGAAACAUGUUUGGUUAUUGAUGAUGGAGAUGAUGUCAUCAUUAGAAUCUUGAGGGGGUUGUUGCCCAGGCCAACGCCUCUACAACAACCAUGUUGUAGACACUAAAGGGGGUCAGUGCAGGGUCUUUGAUGCAGCUGAUGAGGAGUGUACAUUAAAUGGGUUAGUAGAAUAGAAUGAAUAGAAAUGACAUCAUGGACCUGACCAAAUGGAACUUUGACCUGUUCCAUGUAGAACUCAGAGGGACAAGGCAACACAUCCUAAUAUAUUAUAAACAUUCCAUAUAGAAUAGUCAACAUAUUGUUAACAUGGUUCUGUAUUUAAAUAAAAGUGGAAAUGGGGGACAUUUUGUCCAUUAUAGAACUGUAGGGCCCAUUUUAAUACAGUAACCUCCCUUUUCUGACAUGAUGUUCUGGUUAUCAUGCAUGUUUAUGUCUUAAAGAGGAAGGAAAGGACUGUUCUGCAUCAGCUACUUUAAAUAUGUAUCAACCACAGAACUCACACUUACUACCAGUCAGUUGACUCACUGUACAAGACUCUCCCCUUCACUUCACUCUACUGCAGGGUGGGAGAUGCAACAAUGGUCUUGAGAACAGCAGGUGGUCGUCUUUCUCUGGUGGUCUUUCUCUGGUCUGUAGCAGUGGUACUGAGUCAGAAUGGCUGGAGUGUUACAUACACCACUCAGAGUAUCUGUACCUUGAAGGGGUCAACAGUGGAUCUGUCCUGCUCUUACACAUAUCCCAGUAGUACAGUCACAACAACCUUCUGGUUCACCAAAAAGUAUGAUGUGGAGAAUUAUGUAAAUCUGAGAAAUGACUCAAACUACAAAGGUCGUGUGACGUACCGUAGAGAUAAGACGAAUGGACACACCCUGAGAAUCACAAACCUGAGAGAGAGUGACUCAGCUGAGUACAAAUUCAGAUUUAUAACAGAUCAGACAGGAGGGAAAUAUUAUGCCGAACCUGGAGUCACUCUGUCUGUUACAGACCUGCAGGUGAAGGUGACCACUACAUGGUGGUCAACGACACUGACCUGUAGCACCACCUGUACUCUGACUGGUAACCCCGCCUACACCUGGUACAGGAACAGUAGAUUGUACAAGGGGCCUCCUCCCCCUCAUACUCAGUCUACUUUCAAACUGAAGACAGCUUCUACUGUGCUGUAAAAGGCAUCAAUUCUCCUGCAGUGUCUGUUGAGGGUCACAGUUAUUUCCACGUGACUUACACCCAUCAGAGGAUCUGUACCUUGAAUGGGUCAUCAGUGGACAUAUCCUGCUCUUAUACUUAUCCCAGUGGUCAUACAGUCUCUGAAACAAUCUGGUAUACAAAAGGAAAACUUCAUGAGACGUCUCAAAUCCUGAGCCCGGGGUAUGGGGGUCGUGUGGAGUACCUUGGAAAUAUGCAGAGUGACUCCAUCCUGAGAAUCACAGACCUGAGAGAGGAGGACUCAGCUGAGUAUAAGAGCCCACCAUCCCUGGAACAACUCUGACUGUCACAGGUCUGCAGGUGAAGGUGACUCCUGCCACUGUGACAGACGGACAGAAGGUGAUACUGACCUGUAGCACCACCUGUAUUCUGAGUGACAACCCCACCUACAUCUGGUACAAGAAUGGAUAUGUAACCAACCAAUCUACCAGUCUGUUCCUAAACCCAGUCAGCAGGAAACAAACCUCAGUUCUGACUGCAGCUGUAGGAAUCAUAGUGGUUGUUCUGGUUCUCAUCCUCUGUCUCUCUGGACUCAUGUGGUUCAGGAGAUCCUCAGCAGGAAGUGAUGCCACAACAGGGAUACAGAGUGUCCAUCCUGAUCCUAACAGUGACACGUACACAGCUCUGAACAUGAAGACCAGGUCACCAGAGUAUGACACCCUGGCAAAUGUGAGGGACUCCCCCACUGUCACAAUCCCUCAGAUAGAUGCUGAUGCCUCCGAUUAUGAGAACUACAACCCGUCCUGAAGAGAACCACCACAGAACCUGGACUAAAGAGAAACAACACAGAACAUUGAGUGAAGAAAACCACCACAGAACCUUGAGUGAAGAGAACCACCACAGAACCUGGACUGAAGAGAACCACCACAGAACCUGGACUGAAGAGAACCACCACAGAACAUGACUGAAGAGAACCACCGUAGAAACUGGACUGAAGAGAACCACCACAGAACCUGGACUGAAGAGCAACAGCAUGAAACCAAAGCUAGACCUCACAAUGCUAUUCUCUUACUAUCAUUAUGCUUUCUUAUCUAUUAGGUUUUCCAGACAAUGACCUUUAACUUUUGAGUAAAUGCUGUAAUUUAGAUUGUUAUCCUAAUGAUAAAUUCAGUAUGUAUAUAGAUGAUAAAUACAGUUUGUAUAUAGAUGAUAAAUGGGAAAGAUUAUGCUUCUGCUAUUUUUCUAUAAGAUUUUGCCAUUUCCAGAUUUGAUUACAUUUCAUGUAGAAAUAUGUUGAACUAUUCAUUAGCUCUGCUCCUUCAGGUGUUUAGUAAGCCCACCAUAUGCUAGGUAAUGCUAGUAUCAACAUGCCAUCCAACACAGCUGAAACUAUAGUAAGACCACCACAUGCUAGGUAAUGCUAGUAUCAACAUGCCAUCCAACACAGCUGAAACUAUAGUAAGACCACCACAUGCUAGGUAAUGCUAGUAU